rnacentral:misc_RNA from 1 species
GUUUUCAAGUUCAAACAGAAGAGCCACAUACCCUGUAUACCUUUCUCUUCGAUUAGGAUUUUUUUUUCCUUCUAUUAAAAAGCUCUUCUCCCCUUCAUUUGCUAAGCUAAUCAUAAUUCUCUACUUCCCAAUCCUCCAAAAACCCUCCCAAAAUUCACCGCAUUGGCUGAUCCCUCUUUCGAUCCGGUGCUUCCAGUACUCGCAUUCGCGGCCUUCUGAUCUCCAGACCUCAGCUGAGAGAGUUAAGAGUUUAAUAUAACGGUGCAAUGACGGCGCGUGUGAUUGUGAAUGUUCCAAUCAGUGAAAUGGAGGACAAGGGUGGGUUGGAUAUGAGUAGCUAUGACGACUUGCCGACACCUGCUGCUGCUGCUGCAGAUUGCAAUGGUGUUAAGGAUGCCAAUGAGAACGUCAAGGGGAAUGGGGAGGAUCAUCCCGAUGCUUCCUGCGUUUUCGUAGCUGGAAACGACAGCGUUCCUGACGAAGCCGCUGACUCCGCCGAUCUCAAUGGCAAGUCUGAACUGGUUUACAAUAUCGGUUCUCGUGAUAACGACGUUGAGGAUGAGGUCACGGAAUCUGAUGUUGAUCAUGCAACUGGGGAUGCCAAAGGUUCUGCAAUAGAGGCGGAUGCUGGCUCUAUUAUUAAUAAUGAGGUCACCUCUAAUGAUGGGAAAGGAGAGGAUGGUGCUGUUGAAGUUCCAAAAGGGACGACGCGUAUUGUUGGACCUGAGGCCCUGGUUGAUCAAAGGGAAUUUGAAGAGGAGCAUCUUAGACUGGAUUCACCUGGAGGUGUGAAAGGGACCCAGGAUAUUUCAGAGGCUGUUGAAUUUGAACCUGAAUUGUUGCAGUUUAAAGUUGGUGAUGCAAGGGCUGGGGAAGAAAACAGUACGGAGUCAACUGUAGCUCAGGAAUCUCAAGUCACAAGUAGUACAGAUGUUGCAGAAUUAAAGCCAAAUUAUUCUGUUAAUGUCGAUGUCACAAUCGGUGCAGAUACUGCUGAAUCAGAGCCCAACAAAUCUGGUGUGCUUGAGCUCACAAGCAGUGCUGAAUUAGAGCUCAAUCAUUCUGGUAAUAUUGAGGUCACAAGAAAUGUGGAUGUUACUGAAUUAGAGCCAAAUCAAUCCAGUAAUGAUGAGGUUACAAGCAGCGCAGAUGUUGCUGAAUCAGAACCAAAUCAGUCUAGCAAUGAUGAGGUUACAAGCAGCGCAGAUGUUGCUGAAUCAGAACCAAAUCAGUCUAGCAAUGAUGAAGUUGUUGAAAGCGUAAGAGAUUUGAAUUUGGUUACAGUUAUAAAGGAAAACCAAGAUUCUUCAAUCGCAAUUACUGAAGGCUUUCAAAAUGAUGGUGAUUUGGACAUGGAUCAGGGGAAGGAACCUAUCGGAUUUUCCAACAACCUUCCAGUGGAAGUUCCCCAAAAGGCAUCUGAGGUAGAGUCGGAGCAGAAUAUGGAAACAAGUCCUUGCCUGGUGGUGGCUAAUGUAAAUUUGGAAGAAGCGGAAGCUAUUGAUGGCUCUGCAUGCAGUGAAUAUGACAAUGGGUUGUCAGCUGGUCAUACUCAAUAUAGUUUUGCAGAGACGGGGGUGUUUAAUGGCUUUGUUAGUGCCAGUCAAAACAGAUCUGAGCAAAACAGCUCUUCUAAGGAGGUUGAGACCUUGAUUCCUUCUAAUGCCGAAAUUGGUAGGAAUGAAACACCAACUUCUCUUGAUGCUGAAACUGGCAAGAGCUAUCCAGCUACAAGUAAUAAUGAGAUAAUUGGAUAUCCAGCAAAUAACUUUACUGAGCCCGUUGUACAUUUAGAAUCAGAAGCUGUUAAUGGGCAUAUUACAUAUGAUAAAGGAGAAUCUUUGCCUGCUGAUCACGCUGAAGAAAGUGUUUCACAUACCAUUGCUAACGACUUUGCUUAUGCCAGUCAAACCACACCUGAAGAAAAUAAGCCUUCUGAAGUUGUCAAAACUGUUGUUCAUGACAAUGUGGCAGUUGAAAGUUAUGAAAGCAUUCCUCUUGCUCCUGCCAGUGAAACAGUGUGGGAACCAGUUGUUAAAAUUGUGGAUUAUUGUCCUGUUGCUGUGGAUGAUACGGAAGUUAAUGAUGAUAUGAGAACAGAGACUUUGGUGGAAAAGAUGGAUGUUAAUAGCAUUGAAAGUGUUGGUUCUCAUUCUAUUGGUGACAGAGGAAUAGUGAUUGAGCCGGAUAGCAGCCCUCUUGCAACUUGUGCAAAGCCAAGUUGCCUGGUUAAUGAUGAAGAACCAGAAAUUGAGACUGGUUCCACAGCUAUUGAAUCUGGAGAAAAAGCAUCUGUUUUCUCAAGUAAUGAGUUGGACAAAGAACCUGAAGUUUCAGAGGGGGCUUCUCAAUGUGUUGGCAGCUACUCUGUUUCGGACGACUAUCCAGAUAGAGAGGCCAGUAUCCAUGAUUCAGUUGAGAAUUCAGUUGGUGUGAAAGCUGGGUCAAAAGUUGAAAAUACACCAACAGGUUCCAGAGAAUUUGCCCCUAACAAUGAUGGCCGUGUAUCUGAAUGUGAGGGUCUGAAUGGCUCUGUUAUUACUAGUGAAAGAACCAUAAAUUGCAUUCAGGAUGCUGAAAAAAGUGGAGACCAAUUGGUUACCAUUGAUGGUGAUGAAAAAACAUCUCAAGAAAUGGAGGUCACUGGUGGGUUCAACAGGGAAGAAGCCUCAACAUCUUCCCCAGAAAGCUCCUCAGUUGAUGCUUCCAAGGGACAAAAUGCAGCGGUGGAGGUGGGGAAAAAGCCAUUCUACUACAUGAUCAGAAUUCCGAGAUAUGAUGAUUAUGAAAAUCUAAAAGAACAGAUCAAACAUGCUCAGUUUCAAGUUGAUGAGAAGACUAAAAGUCGGGAUGUUAUUCGAGCUGAAAUGCGAAGGAAAAGGGCCAAUUGUAAUGAGUAUGGUGCUCGUGUUGAUGCUGCCAUAUCAGAAGAGAUACCAGCUCGCGACUUGCUUAAGGCCAAACGCAAGGAAAUAGACGCUGUUCUAUCUCUGAUUAACAGAGUGAAGAGUGCCUUUUCUGUUGAGGAUAUUGAUGGCAAGAUACGUAAUAUGGAACGUAUGAUACAGCAUGAAACCCUGCCCUUAAAGGAAGAAAAGAAUUAUAUCCGUGAAAUCAAGCAGUUGAAGCAAAUUCGUGAACAGCUUUCUUCUAGUUUAGGUAACCAGGAGGAUGUUCUGGAGGCUAUAGAUCAGAAAGACCAAGUUGAAGAACGCCUGAAGCUUUUGAGGAAAGAAGCAGACCAAUUGAGAGAAAAUGUUCUCAAAGCUGAAGCAGCUACCAGAAAUGCCAAGAAGACAUGUCAAGAAGAAAAUGCUGCUCUUAAUGAAUUGACAACUCGGUUUAGAGCUGCGGAUGACACACGGCAGGAAGCAUAUGCACAUCUACAGAGUUUGAGGAAGAGAUUAUAUGACAAGAACAAAUACUUUUGGAAGUACAGGGAUGAUUCAAAGGUAGCUUAUGAUUUAGCGUCCAAGGGAGAUAAAGAGGAACUUCAAAAUCAUUGUGUUAACCAGGUGGAGAUGGUUAUGGAUUUAUGGAACAAUAUUGAUGAAUUCCGGAGAGAGUACACUAGAUGCAACAUGAAGAGUACACUGAAGAGACUGCAGACAUUAGAUGGUCGUUCACUUGGCCCUGAUGAGGAACCACCUACAAUUCCCAAUGUAGUUAGUGAAAGAAUAGCCAAGGACAACAUUGUACCUUCCAUUUCCAAUCUUGAAGGUGAAAAAAUAAUUGCUCCCGUGGGGACAGAAAAGAUGGAUGAUAAAUCCAUAGCAAAGGUUGGGGACCAAAGUAACCCGACAGCUAAAUCUAAAAAAUCUGCAAAACAUGCUCCUUUGGCAACUGUUUCUGGCAGGAAUGAGAUUGAUGAAGCAGGGCAAAAGGAGGAUAAGCAAACAAAGGAGGAAGAAGAGUUGGCCAGGAAGGCUGAGGAAUUGAGAAAAGAAGAGGAAGCAGCCAUGUUGAAGGAACAACGGCGAUUGGAGGAGAAGGCCAAAGCUAAAGAGGCAAUGGAGAGAAAGAAACGAAAUGCUGCAAAGGCUGAAGCCAGGGCUGCACUAAGAGCACUGAAGGAAGCUGAGCAGAAAGAGAAGGAAAGGGAGAAAAGGGCAAGAAAGAAGGAGAAAAGGAAGGCAUCAGCGGAGGAAGUGAAUGCUUUCAAUAAGGGUGAAUCUUCUCCAAGUUUUGAACCUCCAAUUGAAACCAAGGAUUCUGAAACAAGAGAGAAGCCAAUGACAGUGACAAAGAGAGCUCAAAAGCCAUUGCAUUUCACAAAGCAGACGAAGUCAAAAUCUAUGCCUCCACCACUUCGCAACCGAGGCAAGAGAAGGAUGGAGACAUGGAUGUGGGUUCUCCUUGCUGCUGUCGUCAUUUUCGGCUUUUUUUUAAUGGGGAAUGGCAGAGUCUCUCUAAAAGGGCUUGGUUUCUAAAGAUACGCGCUUAUUACAUUAACGAGAUAAUUUAUAGAGCAUGGCAGGAUACUCAUAUUCCCAUAGAUUUUUAGGCGAUUCUUUUUCUGUUCACAGUGUUUGAUUCCUUACUAGUUUGCAUUCAAUUAACUGGAAGUGGCUUUGAGUUUUGCUCACACCCCACUGAUAGGUUGGUUUUCCUAAAUAUGCCAUCAUGAAUGUUAUUAUUGGAUAUUGCUUCCAGUUUAGUAUGAUGCACAUAAAUGCAAUAAGUAAAAUGUUUGUGCUUUCUCUCUCUCUUUGCAUAACAAAGCUCAUGAAGCGAUUGUUUUAUAGAUUUCCGCAUUGGACACAAGUAUUUUGUUGCAUUUGGUACUUCUCUAUCUUCUUUUAAGAUCCAACGGCAAUGUAGACGUUGUAAUGGCCUAUGCUGUGUGGUGUUACACUGUAUACACAACACAAUAAUUGAUGACAUGACAAAGGGGCCAUCUAGUUAAAGAGGUCAGUACAUAAAACGCACAUGGAUUAGGUACCACUUGGACCAUCUCUUCUUUAGUCUAAGCUCUGUUUCUUCAAAACGCCCCAUUCCUUACCUUCAACCCAUUUCU